UUUAAUUAGUUUGUCUGCGUCGCGCUGAUCGGAUGCCUAUUUGUUCAUAUUAUGUUAUUUAGGCCUACUAUGAUUCGUUUUUGUCUUUAUACUAGAACUGUUUGAAUUUAAAGCACAAACAGUAAAACAUUAAGGGUAUACAUGGUACACAGCGGUAAACAUGAGGUUAAAAAUACGGGAAGUAACAUUCAAACCGGGCUGUUUAAAGAAUCAAUUCGAUGUUUAAGUUUUUAAAAACAAAACUUUAAAGAAGCCAAGAUGAGACGUUCUUUGCUUAAAACAAACAUAACAACAGUAACUUGUGUGUUGGAAAUGUUAGCAGCUAGCAAGUGUCUCUCUGCUAUUUUAAAUGAUACACAGACGAUCUUUUGUUGUUUAAAAGCUCAUUGCUUUAGUGCUGAUAGAUGCUGCUUAUUUUUCAAGACGGUUUUAAUAGCUUUAUAUUGAUUUGUAACAAAGCCAGCUUCACUUUGAGAGAACCUAGAUGCUAAUUGUAAAGAAGCUUGGAGUCAUAAUAUAUUUUAACGUAAUAUGUUUGCUGUUCUUCAUCUUUUUAAAUAUGAAGUCUAUCCAUGUUUGUGUUUACAGAGGUCAUGUACACUGUGGUCAACUUUGUGGACGCUGAAGAGGUUUCUGGGUAAAGAUGAUAGAAAUAUAAUGAAGUAACAGUGGAAGCUAAAACAUCAGACUGAUCCAGACACUGAGGAAAUUGAUGUCACUGCAAUCUGGCCAAAAUGAUACAACUAUGUUGAAGUAGCCUACUGUAAUGAAGCUGCAGAACGUCACAGAGACUCUGAGGACAUCAACACAGAAAAUCAAGGCUCCAAAGAGAUGUCUGUCCAGAUGAGGGUGCAUCAACGUUACCUUUGCUGACAAGUAUAUGCUUUUAGCAGUUAACUUAACUCAAACCAUUUAAGUAAAUCGGUUGCCUUAAACCAUUAAGUUUUAAAAAACAUACAUUUGAGUACCGUGAACUUAAGUCUUGUGCAAUUAUGCACUUAUAUUUAGGUAGUGUGAACUUAAAUUGAGUCACAUGCAGUUAA